rnacentral:tRNA from 1 species
AUUAGCUCAGCUGGCAGAGCAUUUGACUUUUAAUCAAAGGGCCCGGGGUUCGAAUCCCCG